rfam:Corynebacterium imitans strain DSM 44264, complete genome.
ACGACCCUUUUCCCCACUACGGAUCGUUCGGCACGUACCUGCCGAUGGAGGACACUAU